UCGAGGAUCUUCGUCAAUGGGCGCAAGCCUGAACGAGCGACGCCGCGUGUGCGAUGAAGGCCUUCGGGUUGUAAAGCACUGUCGAGGGGGAUCAAGGCCGCAAGGCUUGAGCGAUCCCUGGAGGAAGCACGGGCUAAGUUCGUGCCAGCAGCCGCGGUAAGACGAACCGUGCGAACGUUGUUCGGAAUCACUGGGCUUAAAGGGCGCGUAGGCGGCGUGCGAGGUCGGGGGUGAAAUCCCACAGCUUAACUGUGGAAGAGCCUCCGAUACCGGCACGCUGGAGGAAGGUAGGGGUGCGCGGAACUUCUGGUGGAGCGGUGAAAUGCGUUGAUAUCAGAAGGAACGCCGGCGGCGAAAGCGGCGCACUGGACCUUUUCUGACGCUGAGGCGCGAAAGCCAGGGGAGCAAACGG
rnacentral:rRNA from 1 species